GGCGGACGGGUGAGUAACACGUGGGAACGUGCCUUUAGGUUCGGAAUAGCUCCUGGAAACGGGUGGUAAUGCCGAAUGUGCCCUUCGGGGGAAAGAUUUAUCGCCUUUAGAGCGGCCCGCGUCUGAUUAGCUAGUUGGUGAGGUAACGGCUCACCAAGGCGACGAUCAGUAGCUGGUCUGAGAGGAUGACCAGCCACACUGGGACUGAGACACGGCCCAGACUCCUACGGGAGGCAGCAGUGGGGAAUCUUGCGCAAUGGGCGGAAGCCUGACGCAGCCAUGCCGCGUGAAUGAUGAAGGUCUUAGGAUUGUAAAAUUCUUUCACCGGGGACGAUAAUGACGGUACCCGGAGAAGAAGCCCCGGCUAACUUCGUGCCAGCAGCCGCGGUAAU
rnacentral:rRNA from 1 species